rnacentral:rRNA from 1 species
UACGUAGGGGCAAGCGUUGUCCGGAAUCAUUGGGCGUAAAGAGCGUGUAGGCGGCCAGAUAAGUCCGCUGUGAAAUCUCGAGGCUCAACUUCGAGCUGUCGGUGGAAACUGUCUGGCUAGAGUCCGGGAGAGGAGAAUGGAAUUCCUGGUGUAGCGGUGAAAUGCGCAGAUAUCAGGAAGAACACCCGUGGCGAAAGCGGCUCUCUGGAACGGUACUGACGCUGAGACGCGAAAGCGUGGGGAGCGAACAGG